GAUGAACGCUGGCGGCGUGCUUAACACAUGCAAGUCGAACGGACAAGCGCCUACCUUUUUGGUGGGACGGGAUGGGUGGCCGAGGGAUGAAUAAGACGAUAGUAACCUUCUCACUUUGGGUGGAUAACGGGAAGAAGGAGUGAAUACCACGGGAUAUUUUGGGCCGGUCGGUUGAUGGGUCGGGGACAGUUUUUGUUUCGGUUGUAGAUGGGCCCGCGGCGUAUCAGCUUGUUGGUGGGGUGAUGGCAUACCAAGGCGGUGACGUGUAGCCGGCCUGAGAGGGUGGACGGUCACACUGGGACUGAGACACGGCCGAGACUCCUACGGGGGGCAGCAGUGGAGACUAUUGCACAGUGGGCGAGAGCCUGAUGCAGCGGCGCCGCGGGAGGGAUGGAGGCCUUCGGGUUGUGAACCUCUUUCGCCAGUGAAGCAGGCCUGCCUCGUUUGUGGGUGGGUUGACGGUAGCUGGAUAAGAAGCGCCGGCUAACUACGUG
rnacentral:rRNA from 1 species